GUGCGACCAAAACUUCGUCGCUGGUGCAGCCGAGAUCGAAGUCCGCGUCACGAACGUGGCAUUCGUGCGGUGGCGGUCACGGGGGUGGUCCCUAAAUUUCUCACCACCGCUACCCGUAGGAGACGAACGGCGUUUCCUGGCACUAAGUGUCGUGUCACGACGCGUGUGGCUUCCUCGUUAUCCUUCUUCGCUCUACGACAGACUAGGGCGCUGAUUUGGCCUCCGGCCUUCCUUCCUCUCUUCCACGGAAGACGGAAGGAUUUCCUGCCUCUUACUCGGUCGCUACAUCGAUGGCUACGACGACGGCGACGGCUUCCUCCUCCUCUGUUGCCUCCAUCUCCCGGAUCCUCCAUAGAGACUGCGGUUCUCAGUCGCGCCCCGCCUUGUACGCCAAGGGCUUCUCCCUUUCGCCAUCCCCUGCCCGUUGCAGGCCCCAGCCCCGUCGUGAACAAAAAGCAGUCUUGGUGAGUGAGUCGUCGAUGCCGAAUGGAGGAGGAGGAAGGAACGAUGCCUCUGCUUACUCGAUGACGUCUACCAUCAUCCCGGUUCUGAGGAGCAGACAAGUUUUGUGCAAAGCUGAAGCAAAUGUUUCUGGGGAUAUACUGAAUAGUCCUGUGGCUGAAAUGAGCCAAUACGAGAGGAUAAUUGAGCUACUUACCACUCUUUUCCCUGUUUGGGUUAUGCUAGGCACUAUCAUUGGCAUAAACAAGCCAUCUAUGGUUACCUGGUUGGAAACAGACCUUUUCACUGUGGGCUUGGGAUUCCUAAUGCUCUCCAUGGGUUUGACCCUCACAUUUGAGGAUUUCAGGAGAUGCUUGAGGAACCCAUGGACGGUUGGUGUAGGAUUCCUUGCACAAUAUUUAAUCAAACCUAUGCUAGGCUUCACUAUUGCUAUGACAUUAAAAUUAUCUGCUCCUCUUGCAACCGGUCUUAUUCUUGUAUCAUGUUGUCCUGGAGGCCAAGCAUCCAUUGUGGCGACUUAUAUAUCCAAAGGAAAUGUUGCACUUUCUGUCCUAAUGACAAUUUGUUCAACAAUUGGAGCUAUAGUCAUGACACCUCUUCUCACUAAGCUCCUUGCUGGUCAGCUUGUUCCCGUUGAUGCAGCUGGAUUGGCCAUUAGUACUUUUCAGGUGGUUUUGGUGCCCACUAUUGUUGGAGUGCUGUCACAUGAGUAUUUUCCGAAGUUCACUGAGCGAAUGAUCACACUUACACCACUGAUUGGGGCUAUCCUGACUGCAUUGCUCUGUGCAAGCCCUAUUGGACAAGUUGCAGAAGUCUUGAAAGCUCAAGGAGCACAACUGAUUGUUCCUGUAGCUCUCCUUCAUGCUGCAGCCUUUGCUCUUGGCUAUUGGUUCUCAAGAUUGUCAUCGUUUGGGGAAUCCACUUCUCGUACCAUUUCCAUAGAAUGUGGAAUGCAGAGUAUUGAUUUUCUGUACAUCCUUUUCACGUCUUUGCACAGAGUUCCACACUAGGAUUUCUGCUUGCCCAAAAGCAUUUCACAAAUCCUCUUGUCGCCGCACCUUCAGCUGUCAGCGUUGUCUUCAUGGUGCUUGGUGGGAGCGCUCUUGCUGUUUUCUGGAGGAACAAGCCGAUCCCUGCCGAUGACAAAGAUGACAUCAAAGACUGAGGCAACUGCUUGAUUCUCGUUCUUGGUUGUCAUUAAAAGCCUGAAGCUGUUUAUUUAUAGAUGCAUAACUAGCAUCUCUGAUCCCCCUCGGAUUGUUGUUCGGUUCGUAGUAUUUGAUCAUCCUGAACUUGCAAAACUAUUAAUCUGAAUAAAUCACAGAUGGUUGCCCAUCGUAGAUCAUUGUUGGUUUA